rnacentral:lncRNA from 1 species
ACAGAACAGUCAGAAAGGAGCAUGCAUUCAUGCAAGAAAUUUAUUAACUUAACUCCAUCUCAAUACAAGCUUGAAUAUUGAUAGUAAUAGAUGACCUAUCAAAACUACGACUAGGUAUAAAUACAAUUCCCUAAGCAAACUGAUGAGCAACCAUAUAUGUAGAACACUUGACAGAUAACAAUUGAACAUUGUCUAGACACUGCAUAAAACUUCGACAUUCCGAAUAAUCACUCCAAAAUGAGACCGCAUUGGAAUUGCAGACCUGAUGGCUUGAACCACAACCAAGCAAUCAGACUCGAGGGUAACUGAUAACCAUUUCUUCUGAUCAAUCCAGCUUAAUUAAGCCUUCCUUCACAGCUAUGGCCUCCGCAAAAACUGGGCUAAUGCACUCCGACUUAGUUAAGACUUUUGUUUCUAUCAAUCUUCUAUCUGAAUCUCUAGCGACCAUGCAUUCCGAAACCAACUUCAGAAAUAGUUGCAUCAACGGAAACCUUAACUGUGUUUGGUUGGGGCUUUGCCCAGGAAGUAACUCCAUCUCUAUUAGCCUGUGGUUCAAGAAGAAUGCUAUAAGACCUGCUGCGAUUGUAAAUUGUGUAAGCCUGUGUUUCGCUGCUGCUACUAUCUUGUUAACAGAUGAGAAUUUCUGAUUCCAAACUAGAUCCUUGCGAGCCCUCCAGAUGGCCCAACACAGCGUCUGCAUAGUUAAAUUCAUUAAAUUAGAUAUAAGCUUCACACACUAAAUAUAUAAAUAGUAUAGUAAUGAUUUAACAAGAAAAUAAACUCAACACACUUUUUCUUAGUAGAUAAAGCUACGGCUUAUUCUUUAUAACAAAUUCACGCUACAGCAUGCAAAGAGCCUCACUUCUGUGUUUUACAAACUUGUAUAUCUUACUACGCAUGCAAGCAGUACCAUAAUAAGCCUGUCUAACACCUGCACACCUAUUCACUUAUGUAUGUUUACAAUUAAUA